rnacentral:rRNA from 1 species
UACGUAGGGUGCAAGCGUUAAUCGGAAUUACUGGGCGUAAAGCGUGCGCAGGCGGUUCUAUAAGACAGAUGUGAAAUCCCCGGGCUCAACCUGGGAACUGCAUUUGUGACUGUAGAGCUGGAGUGCGGCAGAGGGGGAUGGAAUUCCGCGUGUAGCAGUGAAAUGCGUAGAUAUGCGGAGGAACACCGAUGGCGAAGGCAAUCCCCUGGGCCUGCACUGACGCUGAGGCGCGAAGGCGUGGGGAGCGAACGGG